rfam:Myotis lucifugus cont2.37603, whole genome shotgun sequence.
GGCAGUUCUCAGGUGACGCACCCCAGAAUCGGGUUCCCUCCUCUCUGGUUCCGUGUGUGUCACCUGAGAACAGCA